rnacentral:rRNA from 1 species
UACGUAGGGUGCAAGCGUUAUCCGGAAUCACUGGGCGUAAAGCGUGCGUAGGUGGCGCGUUAAGCGAGAUGUUAAAUCGUGUGGCUCAAACCAUAUCGAUGCAUCUCAUACUGGCGUGCUAGAGGACGGCAGAGGCAAGUGGAAUUGGUAGUGUAGCAGUGAAAUGCGUAGAUAUUACCAGGAACACCAAUGGCGAAGGCAGCUUGCUGGGCCACUCCUGACACUGGAGGUACGAAAGCGUGGGGAGCGAACAGG